rnacentral:rRNA from 1 species
GACGAACCGUCCGAACGUUAUUCGGAAUCACUGGGCUUAAAGGGUGCGUAGGCGGCGCGGAAAGUUGGGUGUGAAAUCCCUCGGCUUAACCGAGGAACGGCGCCCAAAACUACCGUGCUCGAGGGAGAUAGAGGUGAGCGGAACUUAGGGUGGAGCGGUGAAAUGCGUUGAUAUCCUAAGGAACACCGAUGGCGAAGGCACUCUACUGGGCUAUUACUGACACUCAGAGACGAAAGCUAGGGGAGCAAAUGGG